rnacentral:rRNA from 1 species
GACGAACGCUGGCGGCGUGCUUAACACAUGCAAGUCGAACGGAAAGGCCCUGCUUUUGUGGGGUGCUCGAGUGGCGAACGGGUGAGUAACACGUGAGUAACCUGCCCUUGACUUUGGGAUAACUUCAGGAAACUGGGGCUAAUACCGGAUAGGAGCUCCUGCUGCAUGGUGGGGGUUGGAAAGUUUCGGCGGUUGGGGAUGGACUCGCGGCUUAUCAGCUUGUUGGUGGGGUAGUGGCUUACCAAGGCUUUGACGGGUAGCCGGCCUGGGAGGGUGACCGGCCACAUUGGGACUGAGAUACGGCCCAGACUCCUACGGGAGGCAGCAGUCGGGAAUAUUGCACAAUGGGCGGAAGCCUGAUGCAGCAACGCCGCGUGCGGGAUGACGGCCUUCGGGUUGUAAACCGCUUUGGCCUGUGACGAAGCGUGAGUGACGGUAAUGGGUAAAGAAGCACCGGCUAACUACGUG